rnacentral:rRNA from 1 species
UACGGAGGGGGCUAGCGUUGUUCGGAAUUACUGGGUGUAAAGCGCACGUAGGCGGACUGGAAAGUCAGGGGUGAAAUCCCGGGGCUAAACCUCGGAACUGCCUUUGAAACUCCCAGUCUUGAGGUCGAGAGAGGUGAGUGGAAUUCCGAGUGUAGAGGUUAAAUUCGUAGAUAUUCGGAGGAACACCAGUGGCGAAGGCGGCUCACUGGUUCGAUACUGACACUGAGGUGCGAAAGCGUGGGGAGCAAACAGG